rnacentral:rRNA from 1 species
UACGUAGGGUGCAAGCGUUAAUCGGAAUUACUGGGCGUAAAGCGUGCGCAGGCGGCUAUGCAAGACAGAUGUGAAAUCCCCGGGCCAACCUGGGAACUGCAUUUGUGACUGCAUGGCUAGAGUGCGGCAGAGGGGGAUGGAAUUCCGCGUGUAGCAGUGAAAUGCGUAGAUAUGCGGAGGAACACCGAUGGCGAAGGCAAUCCCCUGGGCCUGCACUGACGCUCAUGCACGAAAGCGUGGGGAGCAAACAGG